CCUACGGGAGGCAGCAGUAAGGGAAUAUUGGUCAAUGGAGGAAACUCUGAACCAGCCAUGCCGCGUGCAGGAUGACUGCCCUAUGGGUUGUAAACUGCUUUUAUACGGGAAGAAACCCCGCUACGUGUAGCGGGUUGACGGUACUGUAAGAAUAAGGACCGGCUAACUUCGUGCCAGCAGCCGCGGUAAUACGAAGGGUCCAAGCGUUAUCCGGAUUUAUUGGGUUUAAAGGGUGCGUAGGCGGCUUUUUAAGUCAGUGGUGAAAGCCUGAUGCUCAACAUCAGAACUGCCAUUGAUACUGAAGAGCUUGAGUACAGUUGAGGUUGGCGGAAUGUGUCAUGUAGCGGUGAAAUGCUUAGAUAUGACACAGAACACCGAUUGCGAAGGCAGUCUAGCUAAGCUGUAACUGACGCUGAUGCACGAAGCGUGGGGAGCAAACAGGAUUAGAUACCCUGGUAGUCCACGCCCUAAACGUUNAUACUCGCUGUUGCNUAUACUGCACGCGCCGACGACGAACGACAUUAAGUUAUACCACCACGGAGGUACGGUCGCGAGAGUAGUAACGUUAAGUAGAGUUAGACGACGNGAGAGNGCGAGGACGACGACGAGGGAGAGG
rnacentral:rRNA from 1 species